AUACCCCCACAUUCACUUCCACUGAUCUGAAAACCCGAAAAGCGGUAAAGGCAACCAUAUGGAUGUCUACUCUGAAUUAGUUUUCCAGUUAUUUCAAGUCUGUUCAGGACUGAGAGGGCUUUCCAGAGUCGCCGACUAAUGGGGCCGAGAGAAAGAGAGAAGUGUUGUGCAGAAUGGCAUCCCUGAACACAUGACACGUCAAACCUUGAAAAGCAUGGAGGCGAACAUUUCCUGAUACCAAAGAGGCAUACCUAAAGACGUGUCCAGUGAGGAUUUAAUCUGCCUUCCGGAGUUACACAAUUGGACUGACAAUGAUCCCAACCAUGUACCAAAUAUUAACAAUAAAACAUUUUCUCUCA